UACAGAGGGUGCAAGCGUUGUUCGGAAUUAUUGGGCGUAAAGCGCGUGUAGGCGGCUUUGCAAGUCGGGUGUGAAAUCCCUCAGCUUAACUGAGGAAGUGCGCCCGAAACUGCAGAGCUUGAGUACCGGAGAGGGUGGCGGAAUUCCCCAAGUAGAGGUGAAAUUCGUAGAUAUGGGGAGGAACACCGGUGGCGAAGGCGGCCACCUGGACGGAUACUGACGCUGAGACGCGAAAGCGUGGGUAGCAAACAGG
rnacentral:rRNA from 1 species